UACGAAGGGGGCUAGCGUUGCUCGGAAUCACUGGGCGUAAAGCGCACGUAGGCGGCUUUUUAAGUCAGGGGUGAAAUCCUGGAGCUCAACUCCAGAACUGCCUUUGAUACUGAGAAGCUUGAGUCCGGGAGAGGUGAGUGGAACUGCGAGUGUAGAGGUGAAAUUCGUAGAUAUUCGCAAGAACACCAGUGGCGAAGGCGGCUCACUGGCCCGGUACUGACGCUGAGGUGCGAAAGCGUGGGAGCAACAGG
rnacentral:rRNA from 1 species